UACGAAGGGGGCUAGCGUUGCUCGGAAUCACUGGGCGUAAAGCGCACGUAGGCGGAUUGGUAAGUCGGGGGUGAAAUCCUGGAGCUCAACUCCAGAACUGCCUUCGAUACUGGCGAUCUUGAGUCCGGGAGAGGUGAGUGGAACUCCGAGUGUAGAGGUGAAAUUCGUAGAUAUUCGGAAGAACACCAGUGGCGAAGGCGGCUCACUGGCCCGGUACUGACGCUGAGGUGCGAAAGCGUGGGGAGCAAACAGG
rnacentral:rRNA from 1 species